GGAGUCACAGAAUAGUUAACCAGCUAAGUGCACCCAAUGAAUGCCCUGUCGAGACAAAUUCCCACCAGCUCCUGCCUGACUCCAAACCAAAUCCUUCCUUGUUCAGACUUCACUCUUCUAGUGCUACUCCCUCGACCAGCCCGGUUCGAGCCUAACUUCUGAUGGAUUGCGGAUGUUCUCCAUAUAGGUGCUUUUGCUGGCCUUUGUAACCUUUUCAGAAAGUCUUGCUGACUGUGAAAGCUUUCUUGCGAAGGGAUGAGGAUUCUGAUAGCCAUUGUGUCCUGUGUCGUGACUGAAAUGUGUGACAAUGAGCCAGGCCUUUAUCCUCCUGUUGCCUCUGUUUAUCCAUCUAACAAAUGAGAGCAACAAUGCGCAUGCGUCUGGUAUGGAAAUGAUUGCCAAAGAUUUUGUGACCCAAGCAAGGAAGGUGAGGCUUCAGUUGCUACAGGUGUUUCCCUUUGAGUAAUUACCCAUUCAGGUACUUGAGCACGUUCAGGGACAAUGAGCAAAAGAAGCAGGGAUUGUCUUACAGGUUUUAAUAUAUUCUUCAUUUCUACUUCUUAAUUUAAUAUAUUCUUCGAUAUUAUCUUAAUGUGUUAACUUUACAUCUGAUUAUUAGUUAAACUACAGUCACAAAUUAGAGACUAUGUAGUCUAAUGCUAUCUAGAGUGUGUCCCCACCCCCACCGUGGGAUCUUGCCAUCUGUCCACAUAGGCCCCAGCUCUCCCUGGUUUCUCCUGGUUUCGAUUCAGGAAUCUGAACCCACAUCUUUGCCUCUGUUAAUGAAAUAGGACACAAGGGCCAGUUGGUCGAAUGUUCCAUGAGAACUAAAAUCCUCAACACCUGAUGAGUUUUUGUUCCUAUCCACUAUGAGGUCUCCCAUUCAUUCUUGUAGAUGGAGCUAUUUUAAGGUAACUUUCUAGGAGUUCCUGGAUGUUUCAAAUGACUAAUGCCCUCAGUUGCUGACUGAAAGUUUGAAGGUUCCAGCCUACCCACAAGUGACUCAGAAGAAAGACCGAAGGACCGCUGUGAACAACGUGUCAUUGAAAACCACACUCAGCACAGGUCUACUCUCAUACUCAUGGGCCCCAGGCCUCACAAUGGACUCCAUGGGAACUGCCUGACAAUAGACGCAAUGACAACUUUGCAGUAAUCACUGGAAGUUUAAGCAUCUGUGCUGUCUUAUAGUUCAUACUGUUUUUUCCAUUAUCAUUUCUCAUAUAAUAAAUAAAGCCUUCUGAGAUUUA